rnacentral:tRNA from 1 species
AGGGUGUGGCAGAGCGGUCGAAUGCACCGGACCGUAAAUCCGGAGGACCGUACCAGCGGUCUCGUAGGUUCGAAUUCCACCGCCCUCG